rnacentral:lncRNA from 1 species
AGAUGGUAUGCAGCUUAAAUGCAAGUGUACAUAUAUGAACUACGCAAUGAAUUAUUAUUACAAUGCUAAUUACGUACUAGAUAGUCAAUAUGAACUUGUAUUUCAAUAUCUAAAAUAGAUUACAUAACGAGUGGGUCAUGUAUAAUAGAUUAAGUUCUUCUAAAAUAUAUUCCGUUCUAACAAAAUAUAUUAUGUUCUUGUAAAAUAGAUUACGUUCUUCCACACUUUAUUUUACAAUGUAAAAAAGUUCUUCCACACUUUUGACAAAACGUAGAUAUUAAGUUCUGACAAAUAAUAGAAACACGCCUUCAAUAAUUAUACACGCGGGAAAUGUUAUCGAAAGUAGAUAGGUAGAAUCAAGUUACUUCUACUUCAUAUGGCCUCGUUUGCAACCCGAUAAUCGCCAACAAACUCCUCGUAGCAGUCCAUUGCAUACUGCUCGCGAAUUUUAUCCACAACUAUGUCGGUGAUCAAACUCAUCUCUUCUUUCCCAUCACCAUUAGAAUGCAUCUCCAUAAAAUUAGCGGCGCAAGGCGC